rnacentral:rRNA from 1 species
GAUGAACGCUAGCUACAGGCUUAACACAUGCAAGUCGAGGGGAAACGACAUUGGAAGCUUGCUUCCUUUGGGCGUCGACCGGCGCACGGGUGAGUAACGCGUAUCCAACCUUCCCGCAAGUAAGGGAUAACCCGUAGAAAUGCGGCCUAAUACCUUAUGUUUUCCUUAGAGGGCAUCUGAUGAGGAACAAAGAUCCGUCGCUUGCGGAUGGGGAUGCGUCUGAUUAGUUAGUCGGCGGGGUAACGGCCCACCGAGACGACGAUCAGUAGGGGUUCUGAGAGGAAGGUCCCCCCACAUUGGAACUGAGACACGGUCCAAACUCCUACGGGAGGCAGCAGUGAGGAAUAUUGGUCAAUGGGCGAGAGCCUGAACCAGCCAAGUAGCGUGCAGGAUGACGGCCCUAUGGGUUGUAAACUGCUUUUAUAAGGGAAUAAAGUGAGCCUCGUGAGGCUUUUUGCAUGUACCUUAUGAAUAAGGACCGGCUAAUUCCGUG